AUCCACUCACGGUAUGAUAUAAGUAUGUGGCAGGAGGGAGUGCAGAGGGCAGCAACCACUCCUGCGCCAACAAACAUCACACCAAAGAUGGCCAUGGCGGCGAAAACCCAGCUUGUCUUGUGCAUGCUCGUGGCCUUCUUCUUCCUCCUCCUCGCCAUGGAGGUUGCUGCCGCUAGGGAACUAGAGGAAACAGGUGAUCCCUACAAGGGCUCGUAUCCUUCAAUGGGUUAUCCAACUGGACCGCCACCAUAAUUCAUGGGUCCCGGGGAAUACUUAUAGUACUCUACAACAUAUUUAUACAUACACGCAUGUUCUUAGUUUCAUGAGAAAUAAACGAUAUGUAUCUAUAUAUGUAUACGUAUGCAGGUGUCAGAGAAAAUGUUUGUACCUACGAGUGGAUUAAUACAUGUUUCUUCCACAUCA